AUGGCUUACUCCACGGAAUUAUCCCUGCUCCUUUUGUUAAGCCUCACCACAGCAGCGGCCUUAGAAGUAAAGACAAGCACUUCUCCAGUAGUAGGGUUGGUGGAGACGCAUGUUAUGCUUCACUGUAACUUUACACUCUGGCAGAGUAUUAAGAAGGAAGAUGUGGCUGUGAAGUGGACCCUGAAGACAGCAUCUGGAGAAGAGAAGCCAGUUUAUGAGUUUGAUGGGAAUCUCAUUGCAGAUCACCGACACGGAUCCCUUGUAAAGACAGAGUUGCUACCCUUUGGCAUUGCAUCACUUGCCCUUUCUAAUGUGAUGCUGAGAGAUGAAGGGAUUUACACGUGCACUAUUUUAGUACCUCCUCAAUAUGGACACGGGAAGAUCCAGCUCAAAGUCAGAGCCCAGCCUACAGUGAUGCUGACACCCCAAAGCCUCCGGGUUGUAGCAGAAGGGGAGAAGACAUUGUCCUGUCAUGUUCAUGACUUCUAUCCUCAAGCAAUUAACAUCUCCUGGCUGGUCAGACAGCAUGUCAAUGCACAUGAGAUGCCACUGUCUUCCGAUAUAUGCACCGGUGUCCCAUCUGUUAGUGGCCACAAUGGUUUGUUCACUGUGCUGAGUCGGGUAACCCAAGUGAUGUAUGAGACCAACAAUGGUUCCCUGUACAUCUGUGAAGUCCAACACGAGUCCCUGUUGAAACCUCUACGGAGAAAUACGACACUGUUCGUCACAACAAAACACUAUCAUCGGGACACAGGAUUUAUCACCGGGGUGGCUGGCGCUUGCGUUGUGGUGACAGGCUUAUGCAGCAUAUUUUUUACCAUAUUUUAUCAACAGAGGCUUGCAAAAGUGGAACCUCAGGUCUCUUCAAUCAUCAAGCCUGAUCUGUUUCCAAUUAAUGAAAAAUUCAAACUGAUAUGCAAUAUAAAUGGAUUCCGACCCAAAACGAUUAAAGUGAAGUGGUACCUAAGAAACCCACAGACAAUGGCAUCAUCAGAAGACUCGACAAGGGAUGACGUGGCCCUUUCUGAGGCUAGAGAAGAUGUCACCAAUCUGACCACACAGUCCGUGGAAGCCAAUGGCAGAUUUUAUAGCGUUUCCUCUUGCCUGACCUACACACCCACUAUAAAGGAUGAUGGGGCAGAAUUUGAAUGCAGGAUCCAGCACAGCACACUGAAGACCCCUAAAAGGAAAGCCACAACUAUUCAUGUUACUGCUCGCCCAGCAAGUCAUUAUAUCUUCAUCUGGCCUCAAGCUCCCGUGCAAGGAGAGAAGCUCAUUCUGAUCUGCGUGGUGGAGAAUUUUUACCCCAAGGACAUCGCUUUGGAUUGGUUUCGAAACGGACAGCCAGUGCAAGGUGUAGUGCAAUUUGGGCCUUUCCCAUGCGGAAGCGACUUUUACAGCGUGUGGAGCCAGAUUGAGUUUAUCUUGAACCCAGAUGAGGAGGGAGCCAUUUAUACCUGUCAGCUCAAACACAGCAGUUUUGGAAAUGUUGAGGAGCUCUCCUAUGAAAUAAAUCUGCAAGGAACCCCUCCAGAAGUCCUCUGGAUCACUGCAGACCCCUCAGUUCCUGUGGCAGGGGAAGAGCUGAGAUUGAAUUGCAGAAUCAAUAACUUCUCCCCUAACGUGAUUAGAGUGAACUGGUUCCAGGACGGGAAGCCACUGCAGACUGGAAUCUGCCAUUCAGUCUCUGUCAUCGGCACCAAUGGCUUGUAUUCCAUGUGGAGUCUUCUGAGAGUUAUACCCGCGCAGGGGGUGGGAAAGACUGUGUUUACCUGCAGGGUGGAGCACGGGGCCCUGAGAGAAUGCGUAGAAAGAUCAUACGCUCUGCAGAUGCCUGAUUGACUGGGAAGAGGCCGAACUGAAUUAAUGGAAAAGGAAUGGAAGUUGCAUAGAAGCAAACAGAGGCAAACUGCACAAAAGCAUCAAAUGCACUACAGUUCAGGAACAGAACAAGGAGAAACAAAAGUAAUAUGUAAUAUCUUCACUAACCACUAGAUGUCUCUCUACACCGCCAACGGGUGAAGUGAAAAGUUAUAAAAGCUCUUUCAUGGUUUAGCUAGUACUUUACUUUUAAAACGUGGGGGAAAGGGUGUGUGUGUGGGGGGGGGGUAUUACAAUAUGAUGGAAAGU